UUCCCAACUCUGUCGCAGAAGUUCCCAUAAAUGUGUAGCACUUGUAGGUUGCUUUGCUCUCACUCUUCUGUCCAGUUCAUCCCAAACUAGCUCGAUGGGGUUUAAGUCUGGAGACUGUGCUGGCCACUCCAUGUUUUCAAGCGUACCAUCUUGUUCUUUUUUCUUAAGGUAGUAUAUUAUGCUCCUUCCAAAUAG